rnacentral:lncRNA from 1 species
UCUUCCGAUCUGAUCAAGGAACUUGCAUACAAUGAAUAUAUAUUAUUUUGUCAAUAGAUGGCGCCACAUUCCAACCAGUGAUGAUUACUAAAUGACAGAGCCAUAACAAUCUUGGCAUAGAUUGCCGACCUCUAUAACAUAUGAUUGUAGAGAAACAGGCCAAGCGCGGACCCCAUGAAAGAAUUUUCUAAGGGGCGGGAUUCUAUAAUCGAUCCCAGAUCUUCUAGAGUGGAAAGCGGAAACGUUUCCUCACGGCCAAUUCGGCCGACCGAGGGAUGUAUAUUUGACGGAACCACUUUUAGAGUCUAUUGUAGAUUGGCCAACAUUAUGGGAUCAACCGAAAAACUAAAGAUUGAGGUCCAGUGGCAGUCCCGAAUUCCUCCUGAAUAUACUGGAGGUGUGCCAGUUUUGAACCCGGAAUCUCUAAGAUAGUAAGUGAAUGCUUUAUCAAGCGGCUGUCCGACUGACAUCUAAAUUAUGAUAUAUAUAAAUAUAUACACAUACAGAUAAAAUAUGUAUUAAUUUACUUCAAUAAAUAAACUCUUAAAAAUAAUAAAAAUUGACUCUUAAUU